ensembl:lncRNA
GGGGGGGGGGGGCAAUAGGUUGCACUGGGCAACUCCCCCGUGUGUGUGUGUGUGUGUGUGUGUGUGUGUGUGUGUGUGUGUGUGUGUGUCUUCCCGAGUCCUCUGCAGGAACUAAGAGUUUAGUUUUAGUCGCCUCGUUCUGUAAAGCACAAAUCAAUGGUUUUCCAUGAAAGUAUCUCGUGCACUUCGACUGCUCUGUGAGGUCUGGUUUUCCCCCAAUCAAAUCAAUAAAUCUCUUGGAUUAGAUUUGAGAUCAAUAAUAAAAAAAGUUAACAAGUAAUUCUGUGAUUAUUAAUUCAAUCCACUGUUUGCAAAAUCAAAAUGAAGAAACGAUUUUAGAGUAAUAAAAUGCAGACGUGCACUUUUUACAGUGAAAUACCUGCACGUCUUUAUAGUCUGGCUCAUAUACUCUUGGCUCAAGGUCGCCGACCAACCAAGAAAUCCUCUUCCUCUCAGAAUGACUCACACACACACACACACACACACACACACACACACUAAUGGAGCUGAAGGCAGAUUCUCUACCCGUGUGACCUGGCACACAUAGAAAUGGCCCGUUGGAAUCUGCUGGAGAGAAAUGAGCCCGGUGACCCCGACGCGCCAUCGCAGCAGAUUGGUCAGCAGCUUUUAUUUUGGGCCGGUCGGUGUUUGUUGUUCGCUUUGUGGAGCCGCUGAUGAAAUGUGGCGGUGGUUUUUAGGCCGGCGGCAGGUUGGGACAAUCUGGGAAAGGAACACAAACCGUCAUCUUUCCUCUGGGACACGUCAGCUUUCUACGGCGCUGGAGGGUUUGGGGAUUUUAUGUAAUUACUAUUUCUCAGUGUCAUUGUUUGCGAAUUUGCUUUUAUUUCAUUGGCUAAAGUCGUACAACGUGGCCCCUCCUGCUUUUCAGCAUCCUGCUGAGUAAAUAACUAAAUAAAUAUUUAUGUGUUUGGAUUUUGAAAACUGACAUUUUCAAUAAAUCUGCCGUGGUUUUCGGUAAUCUGUGAACUGAGUUUUGAAAAAUAAGACGAUAGAGGGUCAGAUGUCUUCGGCUCUCGGUUUCCACAGUUAAUGAAAAUAUGCAGAUUAAACCAGAAAGGUCUUUGAACUUUAAAUGAAUGAAAAUGAACAGUCGCCUCUGAAAGUUAUUUUCCUAAACUAAAAGUCUCCCGGUCACAUUGAUCAAAACCACCAUCGCAUUCUGAGGGAAAACUACGUGACGGAUGCUGAGGAGAUAAAAUACCUGUUUUACAUCCUUGAAUUUCUGCAAACGCACAACAAUCCUACUGGUUGACUUGUUGGGAAUCCUGCAUGUGUAGAAUUUCCAACUCAAUCCCCUUUGGGGUAUCAUUUUUUAAUGAGACCAUGUGAUUGGAUACAGGCGUGUGCGUGUGCGUGUUUAUCCGGCUGCAGAUGCUCGCUUUAACCCUGAGAGACGCUGCGUGUUUGUGUCGGUGUGUGUUUAUGUGUCGCAGCGUCGUGGAACCCUGACUAAUGAAUCAUUGAGAAGCCAUCAGUCCGAGG